rnacentral:sRNA from 1 species
UCCUAGCCCCGAUAGCAGUGGAAAUCCUUUUCUUGUCUCUUUUUUGAGACAAGAAAAGAUUGAAACGAAUAGCGGGAAAUAGC